GACGAACGCUGGCGGCGUGCCUAAUACAUGCAAGUAGAACGCAGUUGCGAACGGGUGAGUAACGCGUAGGUAACUGCCUGGUAGCGGGGGAUAACUAUUGGAAACGAUAGCUAAUACCGCUUACUACCAGAUGGACCUGCGUUGUAUUAGCUAGUUGGUGGGGUAACGGCUCACCAAGGCAACGAUACAUAGCCGACCUGGGAGGGUGGUCGACCGCAGUGGGACCUGGACAGGGUCCAGACUCCUUCGGGAGGCAGCAGUAGGGAAACUUCGGCCAUGGGGGGAACCCUGACCGAGCAACGCCGCGUGGGUGAAGAAGGUUUUCAGAUCGUAAAGCUCUGUUGUUCAGGAGGCGGUACUUAACCAGAAAGGGACGGCUAACUACGUGCCAGCAGCCGCGGUAAUAC
rnacentral:rRNA from 1 species